rnacentral:rRNA from 1 species
UUAAGCGACUAAGCGUACACGGUGGAUGCCCUGGCAGUCAGAGGCGAUGAAGGACGUGCUAAUCUGCGAAAAGCGUCGGUAAGGUGAUAUGAACCGUUACAGCCGGCGAUGUCCGAAUGGGGAAACCCAGUGUGAUUCGUCACACUAUCGUUAACUGAAUACAUAGGUUAACGAGGCGAACCGGGGGAACUGAAACAUCUAAGUACCCGAGGAAAAGAAAUCAACCGAGAUUCCCCCAGUAGCGGCGAGCGAACGGGGAGCAGCCCAGAGUCUGAAUCAGCUUGUGUGUUAGUGGAACGGUCUGGAAAGUCCGACGGUACAGGGUGAUAGUCCCGUACACCAAAAUGCACAGGCUGUGAACUCGAAGAGUAGGGCGGGACACGUGGUAUCCUGUCUGAAUAUGGGGGGACCAUCCUCCAAGGCUAAAUACUCCUGACUGACCGAUAGUGAACCAGUACCGUGAGGGAAAGGCGAAAAGAACCCCGGCGAGGGGAGUGAAAAAGAACCUGAAACCGUGUACGUACAAGCAGUGGGAGCACCUUCGGGUGUGACUGCGUACCUUUUGUAUAAUGGGUCAGCGACUUAUAUUCUGUAGCAAGGUUAACCGUAUAGGGGAGCCGCAGGGAAACCGAGUCUUAACUGGGCGUUAAGUUGCAGGGUAUAGACCCGAAACCCGGUGAUCUAGCCAUGGGCAGGUUGAAGGUUGGGUAACACUAACUGGAGGACCGAACCGACUAAUGUUGAAAAAUUAGCGGAUGACUUGUGGCUGGGGGUGAAAGGCCAAUCAAACCGGGAGAUAGCUGGUUCUCCCCGAAAGCUAUUUAGGUAGCGCCUCGUGAACUCAUCUUCGGGGGUAGAGCACUGUUUCGGCUAGGGGGUCAUCCCGACUUACCAACCCGAUGCAAACUACGAAUACCGAAGAAUGUUAUCACGGGAGACACACGGCGGGUGCUAACGUCCGUCGUGAAGAGGGAAACAACCCAGACCGCCAGCUAAGGUCCCAAAGUCAUGGUUAAGUGGGAAACGAUGUGGGAAGGCACAGACAGCCAGGAUGUUGGCUUAGAAGCAGCCAUCAUUUAAAGAAAGCGUAAUAGCUCACUGGUCGAGUCGGCCUGCGCGGAAGAUGUAACGGGGCUAAACCAUGCACCGAAGCUGCGGCAGCGACACUAUGUGUUGUUGGGUAGGGGAGCGUUCUGUAAGCCUGCGAAGGUGUGCUGUGAGGCAUGCUGGAGGUAUCAGAAGUGCGAAUGCUGACAUAAGUAACGAUAAAGCGGGUGAAAAGCCCGCUCGCCGGAAGACCAAGGGUUCCUGUCCAACGUUAAUCGGGGCAGGGUGAGUCGACCCCUAAGGCGAGGCCGAAAGGCGUAGUCGAUGGGAAACAGGUUAAUAUUCCUGUACUUGGUGUUACUGCGAAGGGGGGACGGAGAAGGCUAUGUUAGCCGGGCGACGGUUGUCCCGGUUUAAGCAUGUAGGCUGGUUAUCCAGGCAAAUCCGGAUAAUCAAGGCUGAGGUGUGAUGACGAGGCACUACGGUGCUGAAGUAACAAAUGCCCUGCUUCCAGGAAAAGCCUCUAAGCAUCAGGUAACAUCAAAUCGUACCCCAAACCGACACAGGUGGUCAGGUAGAGAAUACCAAGGCGCUUGAGAGAACUCGGGUGAAGGAACUAGGCAAAAUGGUGCCGUAACUUCGGGAGAAGGCACGCUGGUGUGUAGGUGAAGCCCCUGCGGGUGGAGCUGAGACCAGUCGAAGAUACCAGCUGGCUGCAACUGUUUAUUAAAAACACAGCACUGUGCAAACACGAAAGUGGACGUAUACGGUGUGACGCCUGCCCGGUGCCGGAAGGUUAAUUGAUGGGGUUAUCCGUAAGGAGAAGCUCUUGAUCGAAGCCCCGGUAAACGGCGGCCGUAACUAUAACGGUCCUAAGGUAGCGAAAUUCCUUGUCGGGUAAGUUCCGACCUGCACGAAUGGCGUAAUGAUGGCCAGGCUGUCUCCACCCGAGACUCAGUGAAAUUGAACUCGCUGUGAAGAUGCAGUGUACCCGCGGCAAGACGGAAAGACCCCGUGAACCUUUACUAUAGCUUGACACUGAACAUUGAGCCUUGAUGUGUAGGAUAGGUGGGAGGCUUUGAAGCGUGGACGCCAGUCUGCGUGGAGCCAACCUUGAAAUACCACCCUUUAAUGUUUGAUGUUCUAACGUUGGCCCCUUACCGGGGUUGCGGACAGUGUCUGGUGGGUAGUUUGACUGGGGCGGUCUCCUCCCAAAGCGUAACGGAGGAGCACGAAGGUUAGCUAAUCCUGGUCGGACAUCAGGAGGUUAGUGCAAUGGCAUAAGCUAGCUUGACUGCGAGCGUGACGGCGCGAGCAGGUGCGAAAGCAGGUCAUAGUGAUCCGGUGGUUCUGAAUGGAAGGGCCAUCGCUCAACGGAUAAAAGGUACUCCGGGGAUAACAGGCUGAUACCGCCCAAGAGUUCAUAUCGACGGCGGUGUUUGGCACCUCGAUGUCGGCUCAUCACAUCCUGGGGCUGAAGUAGGUCCCAAGGGUAUGGCUGUUCGCCAUUUAAAGUGGUACGCGAGCUGGGUUUAGAACGUCGUGAGACAGUUCGGUCCCUAUCUGCCGUGGGCGCUGGAGAAUUGAGGGGGGCUGCUCCUAGUACGAGAGGACCGGAGUGGACGCAUCACUGGUGUUCGGGUUGUCAUGCCAAUGGCACUGCCCGGUAGCUAAAUGCGGAAGAGAUAAGUGCUGAAAGCAUCUAAGCACGAAACUUGCCCCGAGAUGAGUUCUCCCUGAGACUUUAAGUCUCCUGAAGGAACGUUAAAGACGAUGACGUUGAUAGGCCGGGUGUGUAAGCGCAGCGAUGCGUUGAGCUAACCGGUACUAAUGAACCGUGAGGCUUAACCUU